GAUGAAGAACGCAGCGAAAUGCGAUAAGUAAUGUGAAUUGCAGAAUUCAGUGAAUCAUCGAAUCUUUGAACGCACAUUGCGCCCGCCAGUAUUCUGGCGGGCAUGCCUGUUCGAGCGUCAUUUCAACCAUCAAGCCCCCGGCUUGUGUUGGGGACCUGCGGCUGCCGCAGGCCCUGAAAACCAGUGGCGGGCUCGCUAGUCACUCCGAGCGUAGUAAUACAUCUCGCUCAGGGCGUGCUGCGGGUUCCGGCCGUUAAAAAAGCCUUAUUUACCCAAGGUUGACCUCGGAUCAGAUAGGAAGACCCGCUGAACUUAAGCAUAUCAAUAAGCGGAGGA
rnacentral:misc_RNA from 1 species